UGGGACUUAUGGGCAACUAACCCACAUCUCCUGAAUGCAACUCAAACACUUUUAUUAAGCUAAAGCCUCU
rnacentral:tRNA from 1 species